UCGGGAAUUUUGGGCAAUGGGCGAAAGCCUGACCCAGCAACGCCGCGUGAAGGAUGAAGUAUUUCGGUAUGUAAACUUCGAAAGAAUGGGAAGAAUAAAUGACGGUACCAUUUAUAAGCUCCGGCUAACUACGUGCCAGCAGCCGCGGUAAUACGUAGGGAGCAAGCGUUGUUCGGAUUUACUGGGCGUAAAGGGCGCGUAGGCGGCGCGGUAAGUCACUUGUGAAAUCUCUGAGCUUAACUCAGAACGGCCAAGUGAUACUGCUGUGCUAGAGUGCGGAAGAGGCAACCGGAAUUCUUGGUGUAGCGGUGAAAUGCGUAGAUAUCAAGAGGAACACCUGAGGCGAAGGCGGGUUGCUGGGCCGACACUGACGCUGAUGCGCGAAAGCCAGGGGAGCAAACG
rnacentral:rRNA from 1 species